UCAACCAUGAAACUGUGGGUGUUGGAAAUAUGUUAUAAUACAUGACAUUUUUAUUGCAGGUUUUGACCUUUCAAUAGAGAGCUGAUUUUGGAGGCCGGCUUACUCCUGUGAUUGAAAAACUCUCUGGAAGGUUGAUGGAGCAUGAGCAUGGAGAAUUUUUCAUUGAGAUGAUUGGAAUUGCUGCAGUGAGAAUGGAAAUUACUUGGGCUCCUUUCCUUUUAAAAGCUGCAUGCAAGAACUGUGUGAACUGAAGAGCAUCUUAAUGCCACCAGAGUAGGAGGAGAGGACAGAGGAGUGUUCUGCAAGAGACAGUCACGUGUUA